UAGCUCAGUGGUACAGCACUCUCCUAACAUGUGUGAGGCCCUGGGUUCAAUUCCCAG
rnacentral:tRNA from 1 species